GUCCCUGUAGUGCAAUGGAUAGCGCGUUGGACUUCAAUUCCAAAUGUUCUGUAUCCGAAACCCAACUGGGAUG